UGGUUCAUUUGGUUUGUUCUGUUUCCCCCUAAAGUUAUAAUGGUUCGGUCCUGGGGUUCCCCCCCUACUCCUCCCCUGGCAACCCCUCCUUUUGAGAGUGUCAAUCUGUUGUCUCCUCCCCUGUUUCCCUGGUUACCCUCUGCCAAUCCCUCCCUGAGUUCCUGUCCAUCACCCACUGUCCCCUUCCCUCUUUCCAGAAAGUUCUCCCCUCUUCAGUGGGUGAUUGGAUCGGGAACAAGAGUCCCUCCCUGUCACAUUCCCUAUUGGCUACCCGGAACCAGGACCCCUCUGUGGUGAAGAUGAUAAAGGAGCUCUGGCUGUGAAUAUGAGGCUGAGGGAUGUAUCCAGAUACCCUGAUAUGUGCAGCCCCAGACUGGGGUUAGAGCUCUUGGUUAACCUGUGUGACUCCUUGCCCUGGAAUGUGACAGAGUGGUGGCACAUUGCCAGCCUCUUCCUCUGAGCUAGGAGGGAGCUGUGGGGAGCUUGUUCCUGCCAGUGGUGGGCAGCACAGCUGCAUGGGUGAGCCCUGCACAGCUCAUACUUCAUCCUUGGAGAUCCAAUCCUGGAGAUCCUCAGGGCCUUCAAUCAGUCCAUCUUCAGCGGAGGAUAGUAUGCAAAGAGCACUGCCUGAGCAAGAAACUGUCUCUGUUGCCUAGUGUUUUGUAUUGCUCCUUUGAUGAAAAACAAAAGGGAAAGCUGCUGUCUGAAAAAAAAAAAGGUGAAUGAAAAGGGUUUUUACCUUUAGGAGGUAUGUUAGGCCCCUUGAAUCUGCAGGGACUUCAGCACUUACUGCACUACAAUUAAGACAGAAAAUUACUGGAUGCCACGCUGCUGUCUGAAUCCCCUACUCCCCCGGCUAGGGGAGGAGACUGC